GCUGGGCAUGGUGGUGCUUGCCUGUAAUCUCAGCUACUUGGGAGGCUGAGGCAGGAGAAUCACUUGAACCCAGGAGGUGGAGAUUGCAGUGAGCUGAGAUCACGCCACUGCACUCCAGCCUGGGCAACAGAGCGAGAUUCUGUCUCAA
rnacentral:SRP_RNA from 1 species